rnacentral:rRNA from 1 species
CCUACGGGCGGCAGCAGUGAGGAAUAUUGGUCAAUGGUCGGGAGACUGAACCAGCCAAGCCGCGUGAGGGAUGAAGGUACAGAGUAUCGUAAACCUCUUUUGUCAGGGAACAAAGGCGGGGACGUGUCCCCGGAUGAGUGUACCUGAAGAAAAAGCAUCGGCUAACUCCGUUCCAGCAGCCGCGGUAAUACGGAGGAUGCGAGCGUUAUCCGGUUUUAUUGGGUUUAAAGGGUGCGCAGGCGGUCUGUUAAGUCAGCGGUCAAAGCCCGGGGCUCAACCCCGGCGCGCCGUUGAAACUGGCAGUCGCGAGUUGGAGAGAAGUAUGCGGAAUGCGCGGUGUAGCGGUGAAAUGCAUAGAUAUCGCGCAGAACUCCGAUUGCGAAGGCAGCAUGCCGGCUCCACACUGACGCUGAGGCACGAAAGCGUGGGUAUCGAACAGGAUUAGAUACCCCAGUAGUC